rnacentral:tRNA from 1 species
UUCUUUGUGUUCCUGUGGCACAAUGGAUAGCGGGUUGGACUUCUAAUCCAAAGGUCGUGGGUUCAAAUCCCACCUAAGAAA